GAUGAACGCUGGCGGCGUGCCUAAUACAUGCAAGUCGAGCGAACAGAUGAGGAGCUUGCUCCUCUGACGUUAGCGGCGGACGGGUGAGUAACACGUGGAUAACCUACCUAUAAGACUGGGAUAACUUCGGGAAACCGGAGCUAAUACCGGAUAAUAUAUUGAACCGCAUGGUUCAAUAGUGAAAGACGGUUUUGCUGUCACUUAUAGAUGGAUCCGCGCCGCAUUAGCUAGUUGGUAAGGUAACGGCUUACCAAGGCAACGAUGCGUAGCCGACCUGAGAGGGUGAUCGGCCACACUGGAACUGAGACACGGUCCAGACUCCUACGGGAGGCAGCAGUAGGGAAUCUUCCGCAAUGGGCGAAAGCCUGACGGAGCAACGCCGCGUGAGUGAUGAAGGUCUUCGGAUCGUAAAACUCUGUUAUUAGGGAAGAACAAAUGUGUAAGUAACUAUGCACGUCUUGACAGUACCUAAUCAGAAAGCCACGGCUAACUACGUG
rnacentral:rRNA from 1 species